CUGGCGCGUUCUUCAGUUCAGCUAAAUUCUCCAAACCCUGAUGGCGUGCCUCAGUGUCAGGCAGUGGGGAAGCACUGGAGAGCCCCAAAGGGGCAAGAGUGUGGACUGUCUUUAGGGAACUUGCAUUUGGAGAGGAAGACGAGUCUUUUGUAUAGAAAUACAGAAGUGAUACAGUUCCUUAUGAGAAGUGCGUUCUCGUCACAAGUGUAUGGAGUAAGAGGAGCUAACCUUUCACCCCUCAGCACCCCCCGAAUCCCUCUUCCUGGCUGGGGGGGAGCCUUGUCGUCGGUCUGGGCUGGGUCUUUCCGACCUUCGCCUGGGGCCUGAGAUCUUCACAGGCUGCUUUUCAACAUGGACUCAGCCAGGAAGAGGCGGCUCCACGGCUGAGGGUGUGGUCUCGGGCCCAGCCUUGGAGGGCUGGGGUCUCUGUUCCCUGAUCUGUAAGAUGAAGGACAGGGCUGGAAGCCGGAAGCUCGUGGGUUCUGUCCCAUUUGUGGACGUCUCUAGGAGGACCCCCCUGCUGUGAUUGGUGCUGGGGAGUGGGCUACACUGGGGGCUGAAGGGGGCUCACAUUUCUUAAGUCAGUGUGUUAAUAAAGCCCCAGCAGCUUCUUUUUUAAA